rnacentral:lncRNA from 1 species
GUACCAUCUUUUACUUAGCAUCACAGAACAUUAAUGUGAAAUGGAAUCACAACUUUAUUCUUCUGAUACCUGGAUCAUGGAUUUAGAGGCUACAGAACUGUGAGAAAAGAACUGCAAGAAAACCAAAUCUUGUUUGUUUAAGCCCUCUUCUGCUUGUAUUUUAUUAUGGAAUCCUUACAAAACUAAAACAUCCCAUCAUCCAGUUACUGUUAUACAUGGGGGUGCAAAAAGUUCAGCCCUGUUGGUUCAACUUGGGACAAAUCUGAACUCAUUCCACCUCAGAUCCAGGGUUCUAUCAGCUGAUCCUUGUGCUAUAAUUGAAGUAAAGUUCAGAUUCUCUCUGCCUCAUCCUGCCUCUACUGGAUGUAUUUCUUAGAGCUCCCCAAUAAAUUUCUUGCAUAUAAAUAUCUGUCCUAGAGCUUACUUCCUGAGGAUAUGACUGAAGAGGCAUGUUAACUAUAUGAAAGAGUACAGCAAACAUUGCAUUCAUGUAAGUAGUUAUUUUCAAUGUUAUUUGUAUUCCUACUCUUCUAAGACUUCGCACAUAUGAGGUAGGUAUUUAUUAUUACUUUAUUUGCUGAGGGAAUACAUUUGGGCAUGAAUGAACACAUGAAUGGAUAGAUGGGUGGAUGGGUGGGUGGGUGGAGAAAUGGGUGGAUGGGUGGAUGGGUGGAUGGAUGGGUGGAUGGAUGGAUUUUGCACUAAUUGUGCUUUCCCCAAAUGAUAUAUGAGUAAAGCUGCAGAGCCACAUUUAGCUUGAUCAAGAAACUAUGGAGAGGAACUGAGACGGAAGAAGGUAUCUGUGGCAUGCCUCUUAAAACCUGCAGAAUGACAAAAAAAGGCACACGAGCCAUUCAUUUAAUAUAAAGGAUUCAUAGAAUGUUAUAUGAGCCACUUGAAAUAAUUUAUGCUGUUCCAAGGCUCCUGUGUGGAUAGUAUGAGAGGAACCGUGUCAUCUAAUAUGAAUGAAGAGUUCACCGAACCAGCUUUUGAGGAGGCCACAAAAUCACUAUAUCUACCUGUUAUUAAUGGCCUAGAAAAUAUAAGACAUUUCAUGAUGAACAGAAGAUAGCAAUAAAGAAUAAUAUGAGAAUCUACA